rnacentral:sRNA from 1 species
UAUGGCAAUCCGGCAUAUGAGCGGAUGGCAGUGACACCUUCGGAUUGGAGGUACUGCCAAUGACAGUGUACCAAGCAUUAAUGCUCAAUUUCAUUUGCGGGGCUCGUUAUAGCAAUACUGUCGUUCAAAGAAAGAAAAUGAUCCGCCUCAUAUGCCAUCGCAGUGGCUGAAGUGGAUCAUUUUUCAAAUUCGAUUUACUUAUCAUGCAUGUUGUCCGCUCAUUGCGGAUGUUGCCAUGCUUGCCAUCAGUGUUACCAGCAUUGAUG